CUACGAGGCGCUGCAGUGGGGAAUAUUGCACAAUGGGCGCAAGCCUGAUGCAGCCAUGCCGCGUGUAUGAAGAAGGCCUUCGGGUUGUAAAGUACUUUCAGCGGGGGGGAAGGGAGUAAAGUUAAUACCUUUGCUCAUUGACGUUACCCGCAGAAGAAGCACCGGCUAACUCCGUGCCAGCAGCCGCGGUAAUACGGAGGGUGCAAGCGUUAAUCGGAAUUACUGGGCGUAAAGCGCACGCAGGCGGUUUGUUAAGUCAGAUGUGAAAUCCCCGGGCUCAACCUGGGAACUGCAUCUGAUACUGGCAAGCUUGAGUCUCGUAGAGGGGGGUAGAAUUCCAGGUGGAGCGGUGAAAUGCGUAGAGAUCUGGAGGAAUACCGGUGGCGAAGGCGGCCCCCUGGACGAAGACUGACGCUCAGGUGCGAAAGCGUGGGGAGCAAACAGGAUUAGAUACCCCGGUAGUC
rnacentral:rRNA from 1 species